UUGGCAACACAUAUUCCGUACUAUGCCUUGCAAGUGCGCAGAUGCGGUAGUCCACCUUUUACAAAACACCAAAAUCUGACAUUGAAAGAUAACAAACACGGAGAUUCUUUCGCCUGAAAAAGACUUCCACCAUGCUCACAGGGAAACGUAUCGCUGAUGCGGGAUAUAGGUUGUUCUCCGGAUCCAUGAUGCUGCUGACGUUAUACGGAGGCUACCUGUGUGUAGUGCGCGCUCAGCGGUACAUGGCACGGCAGAAGGCACUGGAGGCCGCGGCAGAGAACCAGAUUGAACCGGAGGUGAUAAAGGACUAACGGACACACCUGUCCCUUUAUACCCGAGAUGAACAUCAUUCCACAUUGAUGGACUUCACUAGUCGGCGUCUGAUGUGUUGCCGCUUCGCCUUUAUCAUGUUGUAUGUGUGUAUAUAUUUUGUGGCCUGAGAAAAAAAAAGGUCUCACAGAUGAUCAUACUGGUUGAUUGCACCCAAGGAACCUGCAUUUUCAGACCGAGGAUGGGAUGCAGAGAAGAUAUCCAUAACUUUGUCUAAGAGUUGAAUAAAUUAAAUAUGCUUUA